AAUGCUGAUGAUGCUCUGACUUUAUUUCCUUGGAGGAGCCAACAGGCAAUCACAACCGUCUACCGGCUGUCAGCUUUAGAAAUAAAUUAUGGAUUUGAUUUUCAUCCAUUCAAACUGGGAGAGAAGUCCAGCUUUGAAUCAGAGUUGUCGCAGAAAUCCAUCAUUCGGGCCAAUCUCUCUUUUCUGGCGCACGGUUAAAAGGGCUGUCUUGACGUCCAUCUUGUGUCGGAGCAUGAGGUCUGCGCCACACAGCAAAACAUACUAACCGUGAUACAAGCCUCCUGAUUGUCAACCAAAACAAUCAAAAUAUGAAGAAAAACUUGAUUUGGAUCCCAAUUGCCUGUCAGUCUAGGUCCUUGUUGGAAACCAAGUCACUGCACUGUGCGUUGUUGGGCGAUUGUUACGAAUCAGAUGGAAAUUUUUGGAGGCCACAUUCAUUCACCAUGCAUUGAACAGCAUGAUCUGGGUGGCCGAAGAUGCAAGCUGAGCAGUCCUCGAAAUUUCAUUUGUGAAGGAGGUGUUAUAACCUCGUAAUGGGGGACAAUGACCCUGUUAGAGGAAAGGCCACUGUUUGAGGGAAGUCAAAUCCUGAAGGCUGUACCAUUGUAUCACUCACUAGGUCUUUGUGGUAGAUAUUGGGACAGCCUAGAGAUUGUGCCAUUUGACCUUUCUGUCAAAACUUAAAUCACUCGAAGCAUUCACAGAACUUCAGACAGAUUUGUGUGGUUUGGAUCACAUAUUUGACAGGUUCUGAAGUUCUUCACGGAUUGACAGUUCUAUAUUGGUUUCAACAUAGUCCAAGUCUUAGCAUUUCUUCCUAUUGCCGUGCAUCAGGAGGUGGUAGUAUUAGACUGGAGUGGGAGUCCCUGGAUUUAUCAGCAACCUUACUUUUGUAUAACUUUUCCUGGAGCUGCAGCAAGUAGAUGAAGUAAACAGGGAAAUACCACAUUGCCUGACCACAAGAUACACCAGGCCAUAAGAUGCACCAGGAUUUUAAAGGUACUCUUGAGGAGAUAUUAGAAUAUAGAUGUCAGACCAUAAGAUGCACAACAUUUUUAAGCCACCUUUUCAUAUAAACAUCUUGUGAUCCAGUAGAAACAGUAACUUCAGUCUACUUUCUGCUCCAAAACCAUUUUAAAGAUUUAACAUUGAUAAUUUGACGUAUAAUCCAUGAACAUAAAUUACUUCUCAAACCUAUUACACCCAAUUAAGACCAGUGUCAUUGGAGACACAUUCAUUUUUAAAAUUUAUCGUUCAACAUUGACAAUGGAUCCAUCACAACCAAGAGCACAAGCAUCUAAAGCUAUUCAGAGUGACUUUAUAAUCAUUAACAACUAGAUUGUUAGUUCUGAAGAACACUUUUGGUGCAUUAGUUCAUUGAUCUUGUUUGGAAGCACAUGGACAUAUUUGUACUAGAUAGAAUACAGCACUGAUGUUUAUAAAGUAUUGAAUGUCUCAUGUAAAUGCUACUUGACAUUAGUGACUAUAUGUGUAUGCCUAUCCUGUAGUUUUGUGGUGUGAACUGGACAUUUAGUAAUGAGUGUGAAGCUGUAAGUUAGCAAACCAGAACUUCUGCAGCAGAAGGUAAAAUAGAAAACCAAACUGUGCAUCUUUUAAUCAAUUCAUUUCAAAGUGCAAAACAUGUACUCUACUGGUCUAUUUUCUAUCCUACUUUCAAAAUCACAGCACCAGCUGUGAUGCAGGGGAUUGAAAAAGGGUCCUGGAAAAUCAAUACAAAACAAAGAACUGCAGAAGCUGAAGUUCUGAA